rnacentral:rRNA from 1 species
GACGAACGCUGGCGGCGUGCUUAACACAUGCAAGUCGAACGGAAAGGCCCUGCUUUUGUGGGGUGCUCGAUUGGCGAACGGGGGAGUAACACGUGAGUAACCUGCCCUUGACUUUGGGAUAACUUCAGGAAACUGGGGCUAAUACCGGAUAGGAGCUCCUGCUGCAUGGGGGGGGUUGGAAAGUUUCGGCGGUUGGGGAUGGACUCGCGGCUUAUCAGCUUGUUGGUGGGGUAGUGGCUGCCCAAGGCUUUGACGGGUAGCCGGCCUGAGAGGGUGACCGGCCACAUUGGGCCUGAGAUACGGCCCAGACUCCUACGGGCGGCAGCAGUGGGGAAUAUUGCACAGUGGGCGGAAGCCUGAUGCAGAAACGCCGCGUGCGGGAUGACGGCCUUCGGGUUGUAAACCGCUUUCGCCUGUGACGAAGCGUGCGUGACGGUAAUGGGUAAAGAAGCACCGGCUAACUACGUG